rnacentral:misc_RNA from 1 species
AAUUCUCAAAGCCCCCUUUUUCUUUGGAAAAAGGAGUUUUGGACUUGGAGGUUCAAUGCUUGCAUUUCACUUUUGAAAGCGAGCUCCUCUCAAAUGAAUUAGUGGGGUCCGCUUUGCUGAUCCUCAACGUGAUAAGAUGUUUCUAUGUUUUGGAUUUGGCACUGUCCCUUGGAUGCCUGCUUCUAACCGUCUCACGGACAAUGAUGGUGCUCCGGUCACUACCGUUUAUAUCGGUGGAAGGCUGGACCCACAAAAAUAAAA